GAUUAUGGCUCAGGAUGAACGCUAGCUACAGGCUUAACACAUGCAAGUCGAGGGGCAGCAUGAAAGUAGCUUGCUACUUUGAUGGCGACCGGCGCACGGGUGCGUAACGCGUAUCCAAUCUACCCACGGCUCAGGGAUAGCCUUUCGAAAGAAAGAUUAAUACCUGAUGGUUUCGCUUUUCCGCAUGGUUUGGCGAAUAAAGAUUUAUCGGCGAUGGAUGAGGAUGCGACUGAUUAGGUUGUUGGCGGGGUAACGGCCCACCAAGCCGACGAUCAGUAGGGUUCUGAGAGGAAGGUCCCCCACAUUGGAACUGAGACACGGUCCAAACUCCUACGGGAGGCAGCAGUGAGGAAUAUUGGUCAAUGGACGAGAGUCUGAACCAGCCAAGUAGCGUGAAGGAUGACGGCCCUAUGGGUUGUAAACUUCUUUUGUUUGGGAAUAAAGUGCUCUACGUGUAGAGUUUUGUAUGUACCUUACGAAUAAGCAUCGGCUAAUUCCGUGCCAGCAGCAGC
rnacentral:rRNA from 1 species